GAUGAACGCUAGCGAUAGGCUUAACACAUGCAAGUCGAGGGGCAGCAUGGUCUUAGCUUGCUAAGACUGAUGGCGACCGGCGCACGGGUGCGUAACGCGUAUGCAACUUGCCUCACAGAGGGGGAUAACCCGUCGAAAGACGGACUAAUACCGCGUACACUCUAUUUUGGGCAUCCAAGGUAGAGGAAAUGAAAUUCGCUGUGAGAUAGGCAUGCGUCCCAUUAGCUAGUUGGUGAGGUAACGGCUCACCGAGGCGACGAUGGGUAGGGGAACUGAGAGGUUGAACCCCCACACUGGUACUGAGACACGGACCAGACUCCUACGGGAGGCAGCAGUGAGGAAUAUUGGUCAAUGGGCGAGAGCCUGAACCAGCCAAGUCGCGUGAAGGAUGACUGUCUUAUGGAUUGUAAACUUCUUUUGUAGGGGAAUAAAGAGGGGCACGUGUGCCCCAGUGAAUGUACCCUACGAAUAAGCAUCGGCUAACUCCGUG
rnacentral:rRNA from 1 species